ACUCAAAUGAAUUGACGGGGACCUGCACAAGCGGUGGAGCAUGCGGUUUAAUUCGAUAAUAAGCGAGGAACCUUACCAAGUCUUGACAUGUACCUGCAUCCGCCAGAGAUGGCGGCGCCUUCGAGGGUGGUACACAGGUGCUGCACGGUUGUCGUCAGCUCGUGCCGUGAGGUGUUCACUUAAGUGUGAAAACGAGCGCAACCCCUAUCUUAAGUUACAAGUGUCUUAAGAAACUGCCGGCGUCUAAGCCGGAGGAAGGCGGGGAUGACGUCAAAUCAGCGUGGCUCUUACGACUUGGGCGACACGCGUGCUACAAUGGGAAGUUACAAAGGGACGCCAAGGGGUAACCCGGAGCAAAUCCUGCCAAACCUUCCCCCAGUUCGGAUCGAGGGCUGCAACUCGCCCUCGUGAAGUUGGAAUCGCUAGUAACCGUAGAUCAGCCUCGCUACGGUGAAUACGUUCUCAGGUUUUGUACACACCGCCCGU
rnacentral:rRNA from 1 species